GAUGAACGCUGGCGGCGUGCUUAACACAUGCAAGUCGAACGAUGAAGCCCAGCUUGCUGGGUGGAUUAGUGGCGAACGGGUGAGUAACACGUGAGUAACCUGCCCUUAACUCUGGGAUAAGCCUGGGAAACUGGGUCUAAUACCGGAUAGGAGCGUCCACCGCAUGGUGGGUGUUGGAAAGAUUUAUCGGUUUUGGAUGGACUCGCGGCCUAUCAGCUUGUUGGUGAGGUAAUGGCUCACCAAGGCGACGACGGGUAGCCGGCCUGAGAGGGUGACCGGCCACACUGGAACUGGGAAACGGCCAGGACUCCUACGGGGGGCAGAGGUGGGGAAAUUGGACAAAGGGGCGAAGGCCGAAGGAACGGACGCGGCGUAGGGAAUAACGGCCUUCGGGUUGUAAACCUCUUCAGUAGGGAAGAAGCGAAAGUGACGGUACCUGCAGAAGAAGCACCGGCUAACUACGUG
rnacentral:rRNA from 1 species